GGAGAGAUGGCUCAGUGGUUAAGAGCACUGACUGCUUUCCCAGAGGACCUGGGUUCAAUUCCCAGCACCC
rfam:Neotoma lepida isolate 417 scaffold_659, whole genome shotgun sequence.